AUGAAGGAUUUGAAUUCGGAUGUUUUUGACCCAACGGCUGGGAUGGAUUCGGAUUAUUCGCGUGCUUCUUGUUCUUCACCAUCCGACGCGGAUUUUGGAUUCGCUUUUAACGAUAGUAAUUUCUCUGAUCGGUUGCUUCGGAUUGAGAUUAUGGGGGAACCGGAGGAGGCCCGUCCAGAUUCUGUGGGAUGUACGAGCAUCCUCGAUUGGGCUCGACGGAAGAGACGGAGAGAAGAUUGCAAGAAGGAUAACGUUGUCGAUCUAAAUGGAUGCCCUGAGGAGCAAGUCUUAAAUGGAAGCCAUCCUGAUAUGGAUGAUGGCAUACCUUGUGACAAUCUAGAUGAUGAACCUGCUCAAAUGAUUGAAGAGCUACAUUCAGGUGAUGAAGCUGCAAAUGGCGAUGAAUCAAGCUGGGGGAUGGAUUGUUCUACUGUUAUUAAAGUCAAAACGUUGCAUAUCAGCUCUCCAAUUUUGGCUGCUAAAAGCCCUUUUUUCUACAAGCUUUUCUCUAAUGGGAUGAGGGAGUCUGAACAGCGGAAUGUGACCUUACGAAUCAAUGCCUCAGAGGAAGCUGCACUAAUGGAGUUGCUGAAUUUUAUGUAUAGCAAUACCCUAUCUUGUAGCACUGCUUUGUCUUUGCUCGAUGUGCUUAUGGCCGCCGACAAGUUUGAGGUUGCUUCAUGCAUGAGGUAUUGCAGCAGACUUUUAAGAAAUUUACCCAUGACGCCUGAGUCUGCAUUGCUAUAUCUAGAGCUUCCAUCCAGUGUCUUAAUGGCUGAAGCAGUCCAACCAUUGACUGAUGCAGCAAAGCAGUAUCUUGCUGUUCGCUACAAGGACAUAACCAAGUACCAGGAUGAGGUUAUGGCUUUGCCUCUUGCAGGAGUGGAGGCAAUAUUGUGUAGUGACGAUCUACAGGUUGCAUCAGAGGAUGCAGUAUACGAUUUCAUCUUGAAGUGGGCUAGAGCUCAGUAUUCAAGGUUGGAGGAGAGGCGAGAAGUGCUGGGGGCCAGACUUGCACGUUAUAUUCGAUUCCCCUUUAUGACUUGUCGAAAGCUUAAGAAAGUUCUGACCUGCAAUGACUUCGACCAUGAGGUUGCUUGCAAACUUGUGCUUGAGGCCCUUUUCUUCAAGGCGGAGGCCCCUCACCGGCAGAGAAUCAUAGCUGCGGAUGAGUCGGCUUCCUCAAACCGCCGAUUCUUUAUUGAGAGAGCAUACAAAUACCGUCCAGUCAAGGUUGUUGAGUUUGAUUGCCCUCGGCAGCAGUGUGUAGUAUACCUGGACCUAAAGCGGGAAGAAUGUACAAAUUUGUUUCCGUCUGGGAGAGUGUAUUCUCAGGCAUUCCACUUGGGUGGACAAGGAUUUUUCCUUUCAGCUCAUUGCAACAUGGACCAGCAGAGCUCAUUUCAUUGUUUUGGGCUUUUCUUGGGAAUGCAGGAAAAAGGAUCAGUAUCUUUUGCAGUAGACUAUGAAUUUGCUGCAAGAUCAAAGCCUACAGAGGAGUUCGUUAGCAAAUAUAAGGGCAAUUACACAUUCACGGGAGGCAAGGCUGUUGGCUAUAGAAACUUGUUUGCAAUACCAUGGACUUCUUUCAUGGCCGAAGAUAGUCUAUACUUCAUAAAUGGAGUCCUCCAUCUUAGAGCUGAACUUACCAUCAGGCCCUGACCGACCCCGACCACGACCACGUUCUGUUCUGUUCUGUAUCUAAAGGAUCGAAAGAUACAAAGAAAAGGGGGCAUAUUGCCUCUUACAAACUAAGUGGAAUAGAGUACAAAAUGAUGAUUCAUAAGAGGAACCAAGCAUGUCGAAACACGGUGCCCAAUGACGCGCAUCUUAUUCUGCUCCAGCAAUCUUCUUCUUCAAUGCUUCAAUGUCAUCAGCUAGCUCCUUUCUGCUAGACUGAGGAAGCAAGAAGAAACAAACAACAUUCUUGAAGUCAAUAUCCAGUUGCAGAACCAACCAAGAGCUAUGAUUACAUUUCUAUGGUUUCUUAGAACUCUCAGAUUCUAUUUGGCAUUUCCAUCCAAUUAUGUUUUGGAUCAGAUUAGACAAUCUCUUUAGAAACAUGUGACAAGAAACGUUUUAAUCUCGAACAAAACUUAGAAACCAUAGCAAAAUCUCAUCAAGGGUGAAGCUUGAGAAAGCAUCAAACAUUAAAAUGAUGACAUAAUGCAGACUUUGUUGUAAAUCACGGACCUCCACAAUAGUAUAAUAUUGUCUACUUUGAGCAUAAGCUCUCAUUGUUUUACUUUUAGUUUCCCCAAAAUACCUCAUAGCAAUAAAGAUUUAUUCCUUACUUAUAAA